rnacentral:rRNA from 1 species
CAAGAGGGCGUGAAACCGCUGAGAAGGAAACGGAUAGAGUUGACGAAACUGGACGGCUUUCAGCUACUCCUCACAGCGGUCCUGCGUCUGCGAGCUUCGAUAAGAGGGCGCAGCUGUGGGUAACUGCCGGGUGCGAGUGGUGCAUUUGUCGUCGGUAUGCGCCGAGAGUUCGGGCACCGUACGCUGAAACGCAUGUAGAGGACCAUGCCCUCCGGGUGUGGAAACCUGCGUGCGCAAAGGCGCAUCGGUGGUCGAGCAGGCUCAAGCUUCUCCGCUAUGGUGCGGCGGCUGUCUGUUGGUUAGCACGGGCGUUGGGCGGUCGCAUGCGACUUGCCUAUGCUUGGCGUUGGCCUGGGGCAGUGUGUUGCGCAGAGAGGCAAAUCUCGGUGUAAAAGUUGACCACCUAUCCGACCCGUCUUGAAACACGGACCAAGGAGUCUAGCAUAUGCGCGAGUCAUUGGGUGGCAAACCUAAAGGCGAAAUGAAAGUGAAGGUAGCCUUGAUGCUGCUGAUAUGGGAUCCGUGUGGCUUCGGCCGUGCGGCGCACCAUAGCCCCGUCCUCGUCGCUUGCGAUAGGGCGGAGGAAGAGCGCAUACGCUGGGACCCGAAAGAUGGUGAACUAUGCCUGAGCAGGAUGAAGCCAGAGGAAACUCUGGUGGAGGUCCGAAGCGGUUCUGACGUGCAAAUCGAUCGUCUGACUUGGGUAUAGGGGCGAAAGACUAAUCGAACCAUCUAGUAGCU